rnacentral:rRNA from 1 species
UCUGUUUGAUCCUGGCUCAGGAUGAACGCUGGCGGCGUGCUUAAUACAUGCAAGUCGAACGAAGCACUUAAGACGGACUUCUUCGGAAUGAAGACUUUUGUGACUGAGUGGCGGACGGGUGAGUAACGCGUGGGUAACCUGCCUUGUACAGGGGGAUAACAGUUGGAAACGACUGCUAAUACCGCAUAAGCGCACAGUACCGCAUGGUACGGUGUGAAAAACUCCGGUGGUACAAGAUGGACCCGCGUCUGAUUAGCUAGUUGGAGGGGUAACGGCCCACCAAGGCAACGAUCAGUAGCCGACUUGAGAGAGUGAUCGGCCACAUUGGGACUGAGACACGGCCCAAACUCCUACGGGAGGCAGCAGUAGGGAAUAUUGCACAAUGGGGGAAACCCUGAUGCAGCGACGCCGCGUGAAGGAUGAAGUAUUUCGGUAUGUAAACUUCUAUCAGCAAGGAAGAUAAUGACGGUACUUGACUAAGAAGCCCCGGCUAAAUACGUGCCAGCAGCCGCGGUAAUACGUAUGGGGCAAGCGUUAUCCGGAUUUACUGGGUGUAAAGGGAGCGUAGGCGGCAUGGCAAGUCAGAAGUGAAAGCCUGGGGCUCAACCCCGGAAUUGCUUUUGAAACUGUCAGGCUAGAGUGUCGGAGGGGUAAGCGGAAUUCCUAGUGUAGCGGUGAAAUGCGUAGAUAUUAGGAGGAACACCAGUGGCGAAGGCGGCUUACUGGACGAUUACUGACGCUGAGGCUCGAAAGCGUGGGGAGCAAACAGGAUUAGAUACCCUGGUAGUCCACGC